CUUCCAGUAGCACCUUAGAGACCAACUAAGUUAGUUAUUGGUAUGACUUCUGUUUCAGUGUAUCUGAAGAAGUGUGCAUGCACACGAAAGCUCAUACCAAUAACUAACUUAGUUGGUCUCUAAGGUGCUACUGGAAA